UACGUAGGGGGCAAGCGUUGUCCGGAUUUAUUGGGCGUAAAAGGCUUGUAGGUGGCCACGCCAAGUCGGAUGUGAAAUCUCCCGGCUCAACUGGGAGGGGUCAUUCGAUACUGGUGGGCUCGAGGCCGGUAGGGGGAAGUGGAAUUCCCGGUGUAGUGGUGGAAUGCGUAGAUAUCGGGAGGAACACCAGUGGCGAAGGCGGCUCACUGGCCCGGUACUGACGCUGAGGCGCGAAAGCGUGGGGAGCAAACAGG
rnacentral:rRNA from 1 species